CCUACGGGUGGCAGCAGUGAGGAAUAUUGGUCAAUGGACGAGAGUCUGAACCAGCCAAGUAGCGUGAAGGAUGACUGCCCUAUGGGUUGUAAACUUCUUUUAUAUGGGAAUAAAAUGUUCCACGUGUGGGAUUUUGUAUGUACCGUAUGAAUAAGGAUCGGCUAACUCCGUGCCAGCAGCCGCGGUAAUACGGAGGAUCCGAGCGUUAUCCGGAUUUAUUGGGUUUAAAGGGAGCGUAGGUGGAUUGUUAAGUCAGUUGUGAAAGUUUGCGGCUCAACCGUAAAAUUGCAGUUGAAACUGGCAGUCUUGAGUACAGUAGAGGUGGGCGGAAUUCGUGGUGUAGCGGUGAAAUGCUUAGAUAUCACGAAGAACUCCGAUUGCGAAGGCAGUUCACUGGACUGCAACUGACACUGAGGCUCGAAAGUGUGGGUAUCAAACAGGAUUAGAUACCCGAGUAGUC
rnacentral:rRNA from 1 species